CCACUCACAACGCAGGAAAAGUAAUCGAGCAAGAUCGGCUGGAGUCGAUGAGAAACCUUUCACAGCCAUUGAUUGGCUCAUAAGCAUUGAAAGAAAGGCAUCUUGUUGCCGAAUUUAUUGUUGUAUACUUGAUGCUCUGAUGUGGCUGUGACUGAUGCUACUCAUCAGGAGGAAAAUGAGGCUUGUGAUCCAGGAAAUGGCUCGAUAUGUUCAAGUCCGAAGAGCCUGAGGCUGGGACUUAGAUGGAAAACAGCGUUUUGACAAGAGAUGACUGGCUGCUUCAAAUUGAAUUACCAGCACUUAGUGAGAACAACUAACUUAAACAAUAUACGUCUUUUCUGAAGAACUCUUUCUAUAUAUUUCGUUCUUUUUUAUGGGUUUUCUUGUUUUUUCUUUUGUAAAGUUUAUGAAGUUGUACGUUUUAUUUCUCAUAAUGAAUAUUAUUUUGCUUUUUGCUAUUUCUGUCUGGUUACUCGGUAACAUAAACUUUAAAUAAAUGUAUUCCCUCAUCCUAAUUGAAGGGAGACUUUCUGAAGAACAACCCCCAAACUUGAAGUUUUUAUAGCAAUACAUGUAUUUCAAUAUAUGAACAUUAAACAAAUGUAUCGGCUAUAAAACAUGAUAAUAAAACUUAAAAUACUUGUUGAACAAAAGAUGAAUGAACAUUUUCUGUUGUAUUAUGAAUAUUUGAAAAAUGUAUAACUAUCACAUCUCAAGCCUACCAAAGAAAUAUUCAUAAUUUUGCUUUGCUGGGAACUUUUUAGCACAAAAAAACAACAAUUUUUUACCACUUUAUUAUUGCAAAGAUGCUUAUUUUAAUGUUUUACAUUUUUG